AGCGUUAAUCGGAAUUACUGGGCGUAAAAGCGCAUGCAGGUGGUUUGUUAAGUCAGAAUGUGAAAGCCCGGGGCUCAACCUCGGAAUUUGCAUUUGAAACUGGCAAACUAGAGUACUGUAGAGGGGGUAGAAUUUCAGGUGUAGCGGUGAAAUGCGUAGAGAUCUGAAGGAAUACCGGUGGCGAAGGCGGCCCCCUGGACAGAUACUGACACUCAGAUGCGAAAGCGUGGGGAGCAAACAGGAUUAGAUACCCUGGUAG
rnacentral:rRNA from 1 species